rnacentral:rRNA from 1 species
UGGGGAAUAUUGGACAAUGGGCGCAAGCCUGAUCCAGCCAUGCCGCGUGAGUGAUGAAGGCCUUAGGGUUGUAAAGCUCUUUCGCCGGUGAAGAUAAUGACGGUAACCGGAGAAGAAGCCCCGGCUAACUUCGUGCCAGCAGCCGCGGUAAUACGAAGGGGGCUAGCGUUGCUCGGAAUCACUGGGCGUAAAGCGCACGUAGGCGGAUCGUUAAGUCAGGGGUGAAAUCCUGGAGCUCAACUCCAGAACUGCCCUUGAUACUGGCGAUCCCGAGUUCGAGAGAGGUUGGUGGAACUCCGAGUGUAGAGGUGAAAUUCGUAGAUAUUCGGAAGAACACCAGUGGCGAAAGGCGGCCAACUGGCUCGAUACUGACGCUGAGGUGCGAAAGCGUGGGGAGCAAAACAGGAUUAGAUACCCUGGUAGUCCACGCCGUAAAACGAUGGAUGCUAGCCGUUGGGGGGUUUACCUCUCAGUGGCGCAGCUAACGCCUUAAGCAUCCCGCCUGGGGAGUACGGUCGCAAGAUUAAAAACUCAAAUGAAUUGACGGGGUCAUAGCUG